GAUGAAGAACGUAGCGAAAUGCGAUACUUGGUGUGAAUUGCAGAAUCCCGUGAACCAUCGAGUCUUUGAACGCAAGUUGCGCCCGAAGCCAUCAGGUUGAGGGCACGUCUGCCUGGGCGUCACAUAUCGUUGCUCGAUGCCUAUCGCAUUGCGAUAGGACUUAGGGCGAAUGAUGGCUUCCCGUGAGCGUUGUUGCCUCGCGGUUGGUUGAAAAUCGAGUCCUUGGUAGGGUGUGCCAUGAUGGAUGGUGGUUGAGUGAUGAUGCUCGAGACCAAUCAUGGGUAACUCCACCAGAAUUGGGCUCGGUGACCCACAUGCGUCCCUUGGAUGCUCCCUAAGGAGACCUCAGGUCAGGCGGGGCUACCCGCUGAGUUUAAGCAUAUCAAUAAGCGGAGGA
rnacentral:misc_RNA from 1 species